GACGAACGCUGGCGGCGCGCUUAACACAUGCAAGUCGAGCGAAGCGGCGGACGGGUGAGUAACACGUGAGUAACCUGCCUUAGACAUUGGGAUAGCCUCGGGAAACCGGGAUUAAUACCAAAUGGUCUAAGAUGGACUCGCUUACCAUUAGCUAGUUGGUGGGUAACGGCCCAACAAGGAGACGAUGGGUAGCCGGCCGGAGAGGGUGAACGGCCACAUUUGAACUGAGAAACGGUCCAAACUCGACGGGAGGCAGCAGUGCGGAAUAUUGCACAAUGGAGGGAACUCUGAUGCAGCGACGCCGCGUGAACGAAGAAGGCUUUCGAGUCGUAAAGUUCUUUUAUAUGGGAAGCGGUACCAUAAGAAAAAGCCCCGGCUAACUACGUGCCAGCAGCCGCGGUAAUAC
rnacentral:rRNA from 1 species